UUGACCUCGGAUCAGGUAGGGAUACCCGCUGAACUUAAGCAUAUCAAUAAGCGGAGGAAAAGAAACCACCGGGAUUGCCUCAGUAA
rnacentral:rRNA from 1 species